rnacentral:rRNA from 1 species
GACAGCGGAGCCAAGCGUUGUCCGGAUUGACUGGGCGUAAAGCGCACGCAGGCGGCCCGGCGCGUGGGGUGUGAAAGCUGGCGGCUUAACUGCCAGACGCCAUCCCAUACGGCUGGGCUCGAGCCCUGCAGAGGUCCAUGGAAUUGCCGGUGUAGUGGUGAAAUGCGUAGAGAUCGGCAGGAACACCCAGGGGGAAACCAGUGGACUGGGCAGGAGCUGACGCUCAGGUGCGAAAGCGUGGGGAGCGAACCGG